UACGUAGGGCGCAAGCGUUGUCCGGAAUUAUUGGGCGUAAAGAGCUCGUAGGCGGCUUGUCACGUCGGUUGUGAAAGCCCGGGGCUUUAACCCCGGGUCUGCAGUCGAUACGGGCUAGCUAGAGUGUGGUAGGGGAGAUCGGAAUUCCUGGUGUAGCGGUGAAAUGCGCAGAUAUCAGGAGGAACACCGGUGGCGAAGGCGGAUCUCUGGGCCAUUACUGACGCUGAUGCGCGAAAGCUAGGGGAGCAAACAGG
rnacentral:rRNA from 1 species